rnacentral:rRNA from 1 species
AACGAACGCUGGCGGCAUGCCUAACACAUGCAAGUCGAACGAAACCUUCGGGUCUAGUGGCGCACGGGUGCGUAACGCGUGGGAACCUGCCCUUAGGUUCGGAAUAACUCCCCGACAGGGGUGCUAAUACCGGAUAAUGUCUUCGGACCAAAGAUUUAUCGCCUUUGGAUGGGCCCGCGUUGGAUUAGCUAGUUGGUAGGGUAAAAGCCUAUCAAGGCGACGAUUCAUAGCUGGUCUGAGAGGAUGAUCAGCCACACUGGGACUGAGACACGGCCCAGACUCCUACGGGAAGCAGCAGUGGGGAAUAGUGGACAAUGGGCGAAAGCCUGAUCCAGCAAUGCCGCGUGAGUGAUGAAGGCCUUAGGGUUGUAAAGCUCUUUUACCCGGGAUGAUAAUGACAGUACCGGGAGAAUAAGCUCCGGCUAACUCCGUG